CAGAGGCCCUGACUGAUGGUGAAACUGGGAAAGGAAACUGAAGUAGGUUAGAGGUCCAGGGCUUGCCAUGAGCAGGAAAACAAGGGAGAGCCGUAAUCAGGCAUUCUGCAAAUUUCAGCUGCUUCACUAGCUUCUCCUGUUUGUUGCUGAACCGAUUAUCCUGUUCUGCACUUGUUCCGCGGAAGAAUCCCGAGUCCCAUCUUCUGCCUCGCUCGGACCUGAUAUUUGUUCUUUAUUCUCCUAAAGCGGUUAAUGAAAAAUUCACUCCCAGAAGUGAACGACUUUUACCUAGUUUGGGGCCUGUGCUCCUGAUAGAAUAUGAGGAGGACUAGGGAGGCCUGAAACCAGAGGUGUUGACCAGCAAGCCUCACCAACAUAUGGCCAAUGGAUGAGUGCAAAAUGGCUUCCAAAAUAACACUGCACUGAAGUGGUAAGGAACGUGGGUGUACGGAGGAGACGCAAAAACACAGAAAAGGAGGUGAUUUGGACACAGACACUCACACCGGGAGAAUGCCAUGUGAAGACGGGGGUUAUGCUGCCAAAAGCUCAGGAACAACAGAAGCUGGGAGAGCGGCCUGGAGCAGGUUCUUCUCCAGGGUCCUCAGAAGGAACCAAUCCUGCUGACACCUUGAUCUCAGACUUCUGGGCUCCAGAACCGUGAGACAAUAAAUUUGUGUUGUUUCAGUUGUCAACUGGCAGUGCCUUGUUACAGCAGCCCUGGCAGAUGGACACGGGCAGUAAUCGCCUUAAGGACGUGAUUCAUGUUAAUAAGAAAUAUAAACAAUUUCUCUACUGAUUAUUUUUCUAAUUUUUUCUUUUCAUUGAUAUUUAUGCUCAUUAUCCUCAUUUGGUUUUUAGCCAUUAAAUGGUCAUGAUUUUAAUUUAAUAUUUCCCUGGGAAAUGUAUAUGAAAUGAUUUUCUCUAGAGUCCUAAGUAGAUUUGAGUCCAACCUCACUAAAUUAUGGAAUUGUGGAAUGAUCCAGGGUAUCUCAUUUUAUUAUAGAUGAGAGACUUAAGGUAGAGAGGUUUAGGGGCAAAGCUGACAUCUGGCAGUUUUCUGUCCCCAUGGAGAUAAAGUGGAAACUUUAUUAUCUCUUCCAUUUUGACUGAUUGCCUUAUAAUUGAAGGUUAAAGAUGGAGUUUUCUAUUCAUGGGGGAAACAGACAUAUUCUGGGUACUCUUGAAAUGUGGGUGGACUAUAAACUGCGAUGACGAGCAGAAUACAGAUGAAGUAAGACCUAAAAUCUUGAAAUUAAACUUUUAUUAGUGAAUCAAUGAGAAGCAGGUGGGAUUCCUUACUAUCUAUUCUCCUUGUAAUUGGUGUCUUUUUCCCAAUUAAGGACAAAUUUAACUCUCUUUUGGUCAAGUUACAGCUCAUCUCUUGAGUCUUCCCUUCCACAAAUGUAUAUGCAUUUCUUCCUCCUCCAUCUCUGUUGCCACCUCCUCUUUGCUCCAUGAGAUAUGACAUUUCUGGGAUGGGCUGAAUUGUAUUCCUCAAAAAUUGAGAUGUUGAAAUCUGAACCUCCAGGACCUCAGAAUAUGACUGUAUUUUGGAGCCAGGGUCUUGAAUAAGUUAAUUAUGUUGAAAUGAGAUCACUAGGUUGGGUCCUGACCCGAUAGAAAUGACAAGAGGAGAUGAGGGCAUGGACACGCACAGGCGGAGGACCAUGUGAAGACACAGGGAGGAGAUGCCAUCUUAGCAGGCAAGGAGAGGGCCUCAGAGGGAAAUGACUCGGCCAACACCUCGACCUCAGAUUUCUUGCCUCCAGAACUGUGGGAAAAAAAGCUUUUGUUGUGUAAGCCACUUAGCCUAUGGUGCUUUGUUAGGGCAGUCCCGGCGAACAAAUACAACUUCUUGAAGGCAGAACCAACUUUUAACUGCCAUAUCAUUCCCUACCCAGGACAUAGCAUAUUUUAAACUGUUUUUAUUCCUGGGGUGCCAGGGUGGCUGAGUUAGU